AGCGAACGCUGGCGGCAGGCCUAACACAUGCAAGUCGAACGAACUCUUCGGAGUUAGUGGCGGACGGGUGAGUAACACGUGGGAACGUGCCUUUAGGUUCGGAAUAACUCAGGGAAACUUGCGCUAAUACCGAAUGUGCCCUUCGGGGGAAAGAUUUAUCGCCUUUAGAGCGGCCCGCGUCUGAUUAGCCAGUUGGUGAGGUAAAGGCUCACCAAGGCGACGAUCAGUAGCUGGUCUGAGAGGAUGAUCAGCCACAUUGGGACUGAGACACGGCCCAAACUCCUACGGGAGGCAGCAGUGGGGAAUCUUGCGCAAUGGGCGAAAGCCUGACGCAGCCAUGCCGCGUGAAUGAUGAAGGUCUUAGGAUUGUAAAAUUCUUUCACCGGGGACGAUAAUGACGGUACCCGGAGAAGAAGCCCCGGCUAACUUCGUG
rnacentral:rRNA from 1 species